GACCAGGAUACGAUACCUCUGAUCCGAGGCACCAGGAGUUUAACUGACCUAUGACCAACACCACGAAGGAAGAGAUUCGCUUGGCAUGCACAGCCACGCUUUCGCUAAAUAAUACAAACUAUCUGUAUGCUUCUUGUGAUGGUAUCUGUGUAGACAAAACAGUAACACCCAACGCUACGCAGAAAAGUGCUCCAAGGCCAGAGGAGGACAGCAGCCAUUUCCAGAAAGUCCCAGAAGAACAACUUUCCCAUGAAGGGAAGAAAUGCAGUUAAGGACCAGGCUUUUAACAUACAAGACACAUUUUAAGACAAAAUGUGUUGCCGCAUGUUCAGACAGCUGACGGACUCCAACACAAGUAAUGAGGCGUGACUAAUUAAAUGGACAGGUAAAUGAACAAAGUCUCACUUAGGAGGGGCUGUCGAUUGCAGUGUCAAGCAAGGCCGGUGAUGCAAUCUGCUGUUUUGCUUGAGUUCUGGGAAAGAUGAGCUCAUCACCUGUUCAUAGCUGUCUUGAUUCAGACAUUGGGAAGUAAACUUUUGUAAGCAAACAUUUGUCUAAGUAUUUCCUCUAUCAACAGAGAAAGCAGGUGACUUCAGCUAUGAAAGCAGCGAAGAAAACACAAAGUGUGAAGUGAAACUGGCUUACAGCAGGUCCCCAACUGCAGUUUGUGCGUGUCACAACGUCUUGGCUUCAUCUCGAGUCAAGAACUGCCUUCACAGUGAUAACCACCCCCAAUCAAAACAACUUGGGAAACAUCUGACUUUAGCUGUUCAUAUUAGAAAAAAAAGUUUCCAAAAGGGUGCUUGAUCUGGACUGAAAAUCAAAUUCACAUUUUAAGAAUAAAAAUUUUGCAAGUAACUAGAUAUUCUACUUACAUGAAGCAUGCAAAUCUCAAAACUGAUUUUAAGAGAUGGCAUGUGAG